GUUCACUGGACUUAUUGGAAGGAUUGUGGUUACAGCCUAUCAACCACUCACAUUAUUAUCAGUCAAUUUGGCAAGUUAAUGUUUUGUAUUGAUAAUAUAUUUGCAGGAUCAAUUUUUUUUGCACAAUAUGUCCCAUGGAAACAUCAUGAAAUUCACAACCCACCAAAAUGAAUUUGCAUUGUUUAUGAGUCAGCAAUCUAAUUUUUAAUGUGGAACAAAUCUUACAAAAUUAAGAUAAGCUAUUGGUGUUGUAUUUGAGGAACUUAAGAAUCAAAUGUUGAAUCUGUAUGAGUUGAUCUAUCUAUUACCCAAUACCCAGAAUACGUAUUUCAACGACAGCCACCCCCCACAGACCACAGUGAAGAAAUAAGAUGCAUUUGUAUCACAACAGCCUGCAAAAGUUUGCUGCAAUGCUGCUACCCAGUUCCAGUCAAAUAUCAGAAUGGUGGAGUGGACUGCCUUUGGUCCUUGUUUUUG
rnacentral:misc_RNA from 1 species